rnacentral:rRNA from 1 species
AUUGAACGCUGGCGACAGGCUUAACACAUGCAAGUCGAGCGGUAACAGGAGAAGCUUGCUUCUCGCUGACGAGCGGCGGACGGGUGAGUAAUACUUAGGAAUCUACCUAGUAGUGGGGGAUAGCUCGGGGAAACUCGAAUUAAUACCGCAUACGACCUACGGGAGAAAGGGGGCAACUUGUUGCUCUCGCUAUUAGAUGAGACUAAGUCGGAUUAGCUAGAUGGUGGGGUAAAGGCGUACCAUGGCGACGAUCUGUAGCUGGUCGGAGAGGAUGAUCAGCCACCCCGGAGUGGGGACACGGCCCGGACGCCUACGGGAGGCAGCAGUGGGGAAUAUUUGACAAUGGGGGCAACCCUGAUUCAGCCAUGCCGCGUGUGUGAAGAAGGCCUUUUGGUUGUAAAGCACUUUAAGCAGUGAGGAAGACUCUAGGGUUAAUACCCUUAGACGAUGACAUUAGCUGCAGAAUAAGCACCGGCUAACUCUGUGCCAGCCGCCGCCGUAA